AGAGUUUGAUCAUGGCUCAGAACGAACGCUGGCGGCGUGGAUAAGACAUGCAAGUCGAACGGGAUAUUGGUAGCAAUACCGAUGUCCAGUGGCGUAAGGGUGCGUAACACGUGGGUUACCUGCCGAGAAGUGGGGGAUAGCUCGCCGAAAGGCGAAUUAAUACCGCAUAGUACAUUUGUUAAAGCCGGGGCAACCUGGCGCUUCUUGAGGGGCCCGCGGCCUAUCAGCUAGUUGGUGAGGUAUCGGCUUACCAAGGCUAUGACGGGUAGCUGGUCUGAGAGGACGACCAGCCACACUGGAACUGAGACACGGUCCAGACACCUACGGGUGGCAGCAGUCGAGAAUUUUUCUCAAUGGGGGAAACCCUGAAGGAGCGACGCCGCGUGGAGGAUGAAGGUCUUCGGAUUGUAAACUCCUGUCAUUGAAGAACAAAAUACGUUAGUUAACUGCUAAUGUGUCGAUAGUAUUCGAAGAGGAAGGGACGGCUAACUCUGUGCCAGCAGCCGCGGUAAUACAGAGGUCCCAAGCGUUGUUCGGAUUCAUUGGGCGUAAAGGGAGCGUAGGUGGUCGGGUAAGUCAGAUGUCAAAUUUCGAUGCUCAACGUCGAAUCGCAUUUGAUACUGCCUGGCUAGAGGAAUUGAGAGGAGGCCGGAAUUCACGGUGUAGCAGUGAAAUGCGUAGAUAUCGUGAGGAAGACCAACGGCGAAAGCAGGCCUCUGGAAAUCUCCUGACACUGAGGCUCGAAGGCCAGGGGAGCAAACGGGAUUAGAUACCCUAGUAGUCC
rnacentral:rRNA from 1 species